AGAGUUUGAUCCUGGCUCAGAUUGAACGCCGGCGGCAUGCCUAACACAUGCAAGUCGAACGGCAGCACAGCAGUAGCAAUACUGUGGGUGGCGAGUGGCGGACGGGUGAGGAAUACAUCGGGACCUGCCCAGACGUGGGGGAUAACGUAGGGAAACUUACGCUAAUACCGCAUACGUCCUACGGGAGAAAGCGGGGGAUCUUCGGACCUCGCGCGGUUGGAUGGACCGAUGUUCGAUUAGCUAGUUGGUGGGGUAAAGGCUCACCAAGGCGACGAUCGAUAGCUGGUCUGAGAGGAUGAUCAGCCACACUGGGACUGAGACACGGCCCAGACUCCUACGGGAGGCAGCAGUGGGGAAUAUUGGACAAUGGGCGCAAGCCUGAUCCAGCAAUGCCGCGUGUGUGGAGAAGGCCUUCGGGUUGUAAAGCACUUUUAUCAGGAGCGAAAUACCACGGGCUAAUACCCUAUGGGGCUGACGGUACCUGAGGAAUAAGCACCGGCUAACUUCGUGCCAGCAGCCGCGGUAAUACGAAGGGUGCAAGCGUUAAUCGGAAUUACUGGGCGUAAAGCGUGCGUAGGCGGUGAUUUAAGUCUGCUGUGAAAUCCCCGGGCUCAACCUGGGAAUGGCAGUGGAUACUGGAUCGCUAGAGUGUGAUAGAGGAUGGUGGAAUUCCCGGUGUAGCGGUGAAAUGCGUAGAGAUCGGGAGGAACAUCAGUGGCGAAGGCGGCCAUCUGGAUCAACACUGACGCUGAGGCACGAAAGCGUGGGGAGCAAACAGGAUUAGAUACCCUAGUAGUCC
rnacentral:rRNA from 1 species